rnacentral:rRNA from 1 species
UACAGAGGUCCCGAGCGUUGUUCGGAUUCACUGGGCGUAAAGGGUGCGUAGGUGGUGAGGUAAGUCGGAUGUGAAAUCUCCGAGCUCAACUCGGAAAUGGCAUUGGAAACUACCUUGCUUGAGGGUUGGAGGGGGGACUGGAAUACUUGGCGUAGCAGUGAAAUGCGUAGAUAUCAAGUGGAACACCAGUGGCGAAGGCGAGUCCCUGGACAACUCCUGACACUGAGGCACGAAAGCUAGGGGAGCAAACAGG